CUGGGUUUCGGACCUCGCGUCCACUCACCCGCCCUUUGUCAUAUACAUCCACAUCAUUUCGGCCCCUGGCUCUCGGGCGCCCCCUCUAUUAGCUUAGCGGGGUACCGUCUGUUGGUCGCGGGUCGGCAUUGCAAACCCAAGCGGAUUUCUGAAGUCUGAUACAAUUUUUUAAACGAAAUUA
rnacentral:misc_RNA from 1 species